rnacentral:rRNA from 1 species
AUUGAACGCUGGCGGCAGGCCUAACACAUGCAAGUCGAACGGUAACAGGAAACAGCUUGCUGUUUCGCUGACGAGUGGCGGACGGGUGAGUAAUGUCUGGGAAACUGCCUGAUGGAGGGGGAUAACUACUGGAAACGGUAGCUAAUACCGCAUAACGUCGCAAGACCAAAGAGGGGGACCUUCGGGCCUCUUGCCAUCGGAUGUGCCCAGAUGGGAUUAGCUAGUAGGUGGGGUAACGGCUCACCUAGGCGACGAUCCCUAGCUGGUCUGAGAGGAUGACCAUCCACACUGGAACUGAGACACGGUCCAGACUCCUACGGGAGGCAGCAGUGGGGAAUAUUGCACAAUGGGCGCAAGCCUGAUGCAGCCAUGCCGCGUGUAUGAAGAAGGCCUUCGGGUUGUAAAGUACUUUCAGCGGGGAGGAAGGGAGUAAAGUUAAUAUCUUUGCUCAUUGACGUUACCCGCAGAAGAAGCACCGGCUAACUCCGUG